rnacentral:rRNA from 1 species
UAGCCUUGACAUUGAUUGAAUUUUCCAGAGAUGGAGAAGUGCCUUCGGGAACAUGAAAACAGGUGCUGCACGGCUGUCGUCAGCUCGUGUCGUGAGAUGUUGGGUUAAGUCCCGCAACGAGCGCAACCCUCGUCACUAGUUACUAACGGUUCGGCCGAGGACUCUAGUGAGACUGCCUUCGUAAGGAGGAGGAAGGUGAGGACGACGUCAAGUCAUCAUGGCCCUUACGGCUAGGGCAACACACGUGCUACAAUGGUUAGGACAAUGAGAAGCGAUACCGCGAGGUGGAGCAAAUCUAUAAACCUAAUCUCAGUUCGGAUAGCAGUCUGCAACUCGACUGCUUGAAGCUGGAAUCACUAGUAAUCGUAGAUCAGCUAUGCUACUGUGAAUACGUUCCCGGGUCU